rnacentral:rRNA from 1 species
AUGAGGGCUCGCGAGAUCGUUGAGGAGAGGAGCCGGGGCCUCCUUGGCCAUGCAUUCUCACUGGUCUUCAGUCACCUUCAGAACCUCGACCCCCAUUUUGACUUUGAUGCUGCCAUAGCCCCCAUGCCCAUGGUUAUCCGAGACAACUUGUCGGACUGGGUGGACGACCAUGUGGACGACCUAGUGGCGGAGUUCAUGCCUGUAGAUGACGCGGCCGUGGUGGUGGUUAGAGAAGACGGCGUGGACGACGAUGAUGCAGAUGGCGCUAGCGACAACUCUAAUGACGAGGACGAAGGCAGUGAGGAUAGCGAAGAGGGUAGCGCCUCUGGCUAG